UGCAAUGGGAAAUUUUAAAUAGUGAUCUAAGAGCUGGAUCCCAGCUAAAGCUCAGUAAGGAAAACUCCCAGCUGAUUGUAAGAGUGCUCUGUUGCCAUCACAAAAGACCCUCUUCUUUGGGAGAAAAGCUGAGUUUCCGGUGUGAGAUCAUCAGGUUCAAGAAAAGGAGAAAAAAAUGCUGUUAAAAAAUAACUGAAACAGACAGCAGAGCGGGAACUGGUGAUUGUCUGGCACGCAGUCAGAUCGUCAGUCAUGGCAAGGCACGAGCAACACAGGCUUUGCAGCUGCAGGCUGAAAAAAAAUCGUCUGAAAGGCAAUUAGCAUACGGAGUUCUCACCAGGCCUUCUGAUGGCUUUUUCUUCUCUCCUGGAUUGACAAGGUAGAACUGAUUGUACACAAGAAGGUUUUGACCUGAUUAAAAUAUUUGUGGGCCAGGAAGAUUGUCUGCAGAAUUUAUUUAAUUUUAAUGGGAUGAAGCUGGCACUGUUCCAAGGGAGCUGGAUCCUGGUGAGAAAGAGGGUGUUUCUCCCCAGCUAGGCUCUGGACUCAGAUUGACUCUGGACUCUGUCUGUAAAAUGCUUGAGCCUUCAGAAGUGUAGGUGCUUGGCCAAAUAAUACCUGGUUCCUGACAGCUGCUGUGGGCUAUAUAAUUCCUGUGACAGAGCAGAGGGAAGCUGAGUGCACAGACCAGUCUCUUUUUCAUAGAAACACAGUUUACUGCCACAAGACACACCACGAAGGCCAACGGUGGGAACAGAUGAGUCCCAGGCUUGUGCUCUCCACUUCAUACUGAGAGUUCUGAGAAGGAGGUGUGCAGUGGAGUUGGUAAAAAAAAAAUGCGUUAGAAUUGUGCAUGCUGGGGAUUCUUCAUAUUGUAUGGUACCUCUUACUAUGAAUAAAAGAGGUGUUAUAACACAGGAUGAAGACCCUAAUAAAAGAAAGAAGACAGAUGAAAGUGCUUUUGCAAGAUAUAUUAUUGCAAACAAAAACUUUAAUAAAAAGUUAGGAUUAACAUUUAAUUUGAUAUGACUUAAAUAUUCCAAAAUGUAUCUCAUAUUACUCUAUUAUAGCAAUGACUCAAAGAUAUUGCAAUAAAAAACUCAAUUAAUUGGUAUUACAUA